CGCUCGGCCGCUCCGACAGCUUUGAAAUCGCCACUUCAGUUGCACUAAGAUGGACGGCGGAGCGUACGGCGGUGGAAAGGCUGGGGCACCUUUCGAUCCGAUCGCGUUCGUCCAGCGGCCGCAGGUUAUUCUGAGAGCGGUAUGCCUGCUUUUUGCAAUAAUCGUCUUCGGAUGUAUAAGCAGCAAGGGUUACCUGCCGAAAAAUGGGAAGGAAGUUUGUCUCUACAAUGACGACAAUAACGCAUGCAAUUAUGGAGUCGGCAUUGGUGUGCUGGCGUUCCUGGCCAGCAUUGGAUUCCUCGCAGGCGAAUACCUGUUCGAACAGAUGUCCUCCGUCAAGACUAGGAAACACUUCGUCCUUAUUGAUUUAGGCUUCUCGGGGUUCUGGUCUUUCCUCUAUUUCGUGGGAUUCUGCUACUUGACAAACGCAUGGAACAAUUCCGAUAAACCACCGGGAGACUAUGGCGUGAAUAAUCUUCAGGCGGCUAUUGCGUUCUCGUUCUUCUCAAUCUUUACUUGGGCUGCUUGUGCUUGGUUCGCGUUUCAAAGAUUUAAGCAAGGUACUGACGCAGCAUUCGCUCCGAGUUACGAGGCGGACCCCGUGGGUGGUACAGGAUACACAAGUUAUCCCGAUGCCACUGAUACUGCUUACCAGGAGCCGCCGUUCGGCCAGCAACAGCCGCAGCAGCGGGGUAUGGGUGACUUUCAAGCCCCAGCUUACUAGAAGUCAUCCAUAGUCAAUACCAAAAUGUAUUUCCAUUGGAUGCACAGCGAGCUACUUACGAAGGAAGGUGAUUUAGGAUAAUUUUUCAGAACAAGAUAUAUUGUUUCCCCGCAUCUACUUGUUUUGCUUAAAGACUAAAGAACUUCAUUCGCUGAUAGGUCGCUGGGCAGCGCGUUGGUCGUAGAGUAAGUUUUCAUGGCAAAGAUGUAGAGGGAAGUUAUUUGUUAAACUGUGCUUCUUAUUGUUGACCACUUGUAAGUUACACUUAUUAUCCGUACGCCCGAUGUCACAAGAAGCGUUAAGUGUAUCUAAGGUAUGUACGUCCUGUACGCUUGGACACGCGAAUUACGACGUGCCGGUGGCACUACUGCAGGCCGCCUGUAAGGAAGUAAAUGAUAUGAUACCUUGUAACAAGUAACUAUAGCAACUCUCCGUAAUAAGUAAGAACUUAGUACGUGCACAGGCUAUGUAUAUUUUAAACGUUGUAACGUGUUCAUAGUAAACGCGACUUAAAUACAACAACAGUAAUACAAUAUGCAUUGCAUUAUCAUGCAAUUAGUGUUAAAACGAGAGAUCGAGCUACGCGAGGCGUCUAGGGGAGUCGGGGUGGCUUCAGUUCCGAAAUAAGUCGGCGCAUGUUUUGAUAUUAGCCAGACAAUACUUAAGUUAUAUUUCUUUAGUACUUAAGUUACCAAUCAUAUGUCCGUUGCGGUGUAACGGAGGUAUAUAUUUCUUGCAGCGUUAUACCGACGUCUUUGCACUAACCGUGAUGAAGUAACGAGUAACAAACCAAAGUUUAUUAAUGUAUAAGUUCAUUACAGCACUCAAGUUGUGUACACCUGCAUAACUCGUGCAUAAAUUGUCCACGGUGUUUGCUAUCGCUAUGAAUAUAUACGUUAGAUUUUUCUAUUUCAAUCCUUCUCGUCACGAAACUCUCGUCCAGUAAUCAGUAUGUAAAUCGACAACCCGUCUUCGUUACGAAGAAGAAUUGUAAAUUCCACAAAUGGACACGCCCCAAAGAAGGAAAUUUAACAUUUGUAAAAUUUUAUUCAGUUAUUUUCUUGAUACUAACGAUAUUACUAACGAUUAAUGAUUAUUUAUGUUUGAUGUACAAUCUCAGGAAGAUAUCCAAUUAUAUCAGAUUAUUUAUUUAUUUAUGUUACGUAUAAAUGUGUUUUAUUUAUUUAUGCAUUUAUAUUUAACGUGGAUGUAAAAUUUAGUGUGUAAUGUCUAGGUAUACUGCGUUACUAAACAUGCGUAGAAAUUUGAAUUGGUAAUAAUCGUGAGAGUGCAAAUUAACAGGAAAUAUACGCGUGUGAUAAGUUAUUUAAUAAUUCUGGAAGAUGUCACAUCGUAUAUGCAUAUAGUAAUCUUGAAUCGGCAUGUUGGAACAAUGACUUUGUUCGGAGCAAUAAAAGUAUUACAUAUGUACUUAUGACAUACACUUUAAGUUGUGAUCAAUAUUUGCCAUUUAUUUGAUCAUUUUCUCUUUGUUGUAUUGUCAAGCAAUUCCGAUCACCGAUAGAAACUCACGGUAACUUAAUAAUUUAACAAUUCAGCUGAGAGAAUUAUACAUUCUAGGCAUAUGGUGCGAACUGUACAGUUGAGUGCAAGAGACUUUUUCAUCUCGGUUUGCAUAAUAACGUCGUCAGAACUUCUCCUCGAUUAUUCCAGCUUUUUCUAAUAGUUUCAAUCUAGUUUGCAUAGUUCUCUUGAAGAAGAUGCAUCUAUUGACUUAACCGGUAUUCAGAUAAUUUGGAGAACAUAGUUUGUGUAAAAUGUUAUGUAAAGUGCAAUAAUAAUCAUUACAUGUAUUCCUGGUAGCCCGAAAAAUAUCAUCCCUUUGGAUAUGCAGAACUAAUUAUAUUGAGGAGAAAUAUCCUUUUUUUUUAAGUUUUACACGAAUUGUACUGUUUUCCCAUUUCAGUCAUAUUCGUGCUGCACAUUCAAGGGGCUGGAUUCGUAGAUGUUCGCUCUUUUCAAAAUUGAGCUCUCAAUCUCUCCAAAAUCUCGACCCUUCUAGGUGCAAAACCUCUCUAUAUAGAACGUAACUGAUAACACUGUCGACCAGGAAAUAGUGAAAAUACAUAAAUCGCAGCAUUGUCAGCAGCAUUCCACCAAGAAGGGUUGAGGCAAUAACAAACACAGUCUAAAGUCUCAUUCUUUACCGCGUGAAAGACGAUGCGAUCGUGCUUUCGAUUCCGCCUGCGAAAUCGGAAAGCAGUGCCGAGUAAUCGUACUCGAUAGAGAGUGUAGUAUUGUCGAGGUGUCUAUUACGAAGGUGUAAAGGAAUAAAAAAUGUGUAUCAAGAUGUGGGUAUUGAUAAAAUGAUAACUAAAUUA
rnacentral:misc_RNA from 1 species